UACGUAGGGGGCAAGCGUUGUCCGGAUUUAUUGGGCGUAAAGCGCGUGUAGGCGGCCAGGUAGGUCCGUUGUGAAAACUCGAGGCUCAACCUCGAGACGCCGGUUGAAACCAUCUGGCUAGAGUCCGGAAGAGGAGAGUGGAAUUCCUGGUGUAGCGGUGAAAUGCGCAGAUAUCAGGAAGAACACCCGUGGCUAAGGCGGCUCUCUAGUAUGGUACUGACGCUGAGACGCGAAAGCGUGGGGAGCGAACAGG
rnacentral:rRNA from 1 species